CGUGUCUACUGUCGCUUCUUCUCUCACGACGACGAUACCUACUCCUUUCAUCGUCACUGGAAUCACUGUAUUUUCUAGCCAUUACCUAUGUUUAGCUACAGAUGUCACUGAGAUUUGAAGAGGGAAGAGGAAAAAAAGAGGAAACUUACACAGAUAGGAGAGAAGAUCAGUCAAUAUUGAAGCUUGCGUCGGUGUCUGCG
rnacentral:misc_RNA from 1 species